AGUCGACGAUGAAGCCCAGCUUGCUGGGUGGAUUAGUGGCGAACGGGUGAGUAACACGUGAGUAACCUGCCCUUGACUUCGGGAUAACUCCGGGAAACCGGGGCUAAUACCGGAUAUGAGCCGCCUUCGCAUGGGGGUGGUUGGAAAGUUUUUCGGUCAGGGAUGGGCUCGCGGCCUAUCAGCUUGUUGGUGGGGUGAUGGCCUACCAAGGCGACGACGGGUAGCCGGCCUGAGAGGGCGACCGGCCACACUGGGACUGAGACACGGCCCAGACUCCUACGGGAGGCAGCAGUGGGGAAUAUUGCACAAUGGGCGCAAGCCUGAUGCAGCGACGCCGCGUGAGGGAUGAAGGCCUUCGGGUUGUAAACCUCUUUCAGCAGGGAAGAAGCGCAAGUGACGGUACCUGCAGAAGAAGCGCCGGCUAACUACGUGCCAGCAGCCGCGGUAAUACGUAGGGCGCAAGCGUUGUCCGGAAUUAUUGGGCGUAAAGAGCUCGUAGGCGGUUUGUCGCGUCUGGUGUGAAAACUCGAGGCUCAACCUCGAGCUUG
rnacentral:rRNA from 1 species